rnacentral:rRNA from 1 species
CAGCAGCCACGGUAAUACGUAGGGUGCAAGCGUUAAUCGGAAUUACUGGGCGUAAAGGGCGCGUAGGUGGUUAUUUAAGUGAGAUGUGAAAGCCCCGGGCUUAACCUGGGAACUGCAUCUUAUACUGGGUAACUGGAGUGCAGUAGAGGGUAGUGGAAUUUCCGGUGUAGCGGUGAAAUGCGUAGAUAUCGGAAGGAACACCAGUGGCGAAGGCGGCUACCUGGACUGAGAUUGACACUGAGGCGCGAGAGCGUGGGGAGCAAACAGGAUUAGAGACCCCAGUAGUCCCUGUCUCUUAUAC